AAAAGUGGUUAGUAUUGAUGAUCUGACUUUCCAAGCUUCAGGGCGGUCUUCAGAAGAUGGCAGUCCAUAGACAUACUGGACCACGGGAGAUCUUGAGCCCAUCCUGCCAAGCAACAUGCACAAGGAGGUGUACACCCUGGACAGGACACCAGACCAAGACAGGGCACACUCUCCAUCACACCAGGAUGGAUUUACCCAGAAGCCAAUUAACCUACAAGUAUAUCUUUAAUACUGUAGGAGGAAACUGGAGCACCCAGAAGAAAUCCAUUGGAACUCAAGGAGAAACUACACAGAGACAGCAGGCCAGGUCUGGUCCUAGCCUUUGGUUGUCUAACCAAGCGGUUAGAAAAUGGAUGAAUCAAUGGAAGAGUACAUUUUAUGCGUGAAAAGCCAUAUGCUUCCUAUAGCACAUGUUUGACUUCAUAGAACACUUGAUACUUUUUGUCAUUGAAUGUC